UCAAUCUCUCUCUGCUGGAAGUUGAGGUUAACCUCACGAGAGUUUAGGUCAUCGACCUCGCCGACUCCACAGCCUCCUCAUCUCUCUUUGGCCUCUCUUUGCAGGAGAUCAAGAUAAACAAGAUGGUUGUAGGCAGAGUUUUUGUUCCUAACAAGACGUUGGUCUCCUCUCCCAAGUUUCCAACAGGUUGUUUUCCUCUCCCAAGUUCCCAACAAACAAGAAGGCGUGCUCUCCUCUCCCAGGUCAAAAUGUGUGCUCUCUCUGAUCCUCUCCACUCCACGCCACACCAUCUCUCUCAUAUUACAAAGUACUUGGAAUUUCAAGCCAUGAAAUGAUUGCAAGAAGAAAUAAAGCAAAUCAGAAGGUGAAUAAAGGGCAACGGAGUUGGUCAUCUACAGACGGUGGCAGGCGAUGGCGGCCAACGGUGGUGGUGGCAGGUGGCCAGCGGCGGGAGUCCGACGGUGGUGGUCGGCGACGGGCGAUGACGGCCAACGGUGGUGGUGGCAGGUGGCCGGCAGCGGAAGUCCGGCGGUGGUGGCCGGCGGAGGGAUUCCGGCAGUGGUGGCCGGCGGC